CUUCAUUCAUCCAUCUCAUUAUCAAAAAUCCAUUUAGAAGAUUAACAAAAAAAGAAGAAGAUGGAACUCUCUUUGCAUUUGUUUAAAGUUCUAUUUCUCCUGGUGUUGUUUUUCAUGGGCAAUGCAGAGUCAAAGGAUUGUUCUAAAUGGAGCAAAACAUACAAGGGGCCAUGUUUUGACGGGGAAAAGUGCGCUUGGGCAUGCAAAAAUGAGGGUUUCACAGACGGAAAGUGUAUUUUUAUUAGAAGAUAUCGACGUUGCGCUUGUAAAAAGCCAUGUCCUUUAUAUAAUCAUCUCCCAUAAUCAAUUUCUUAAAAUUAUGCGUUUAAGAGGCUUAACUAAAAAGACAUAUAUAGUUAAUCAGCCUCUAACUCAAUGUAUCCUUUGAUGAUAUAUUAUGGAAUAUCAUUUUGGAUCUUUUGAAACCACAUUCUA